CCCCUAGUAACUGCGAGUGAAGCGGGAUGAGCUCAAAUUUAAAAUCUGGCGGUUAUGCCGUCCGAGUUGUAAUCUGGAGAAGCGUUUUCUGUGCUGGACCGUACAUAAGUUCCUUGGAAUAGGACGUCAUAGAGGGUGAGAAUCCCGUCUUUGGUAUGGACUACCAGUACUCUGUGAUACGCUCUCAAAGAGUCGAGUUGUUUGGGAAUGCAGCUCAAAAUGGGUGGUAAAUUCCAUCUAAAGCUAAAUAUAGGCGAGAGACCGAUAGCGAACAAGUACCGUGAGGGAAAGAUGAAAAGCACUUUGGAAAGAGAGUUAAACAGUACGUGAAAUUGUUGAAAGGGAAACGCUUGAAGUCAGUCGCGUUGUCCAGGACUCAGCCUUGGUUCUCCUUGGUGUACUUCCUGGUUAACGGGUCAACAUCAAUUUUGACCGGUGGACAAAGGCUUGGGGAAUGUGGCACCCUCGGGUGUGUUAUAGCCCCUUGUCAUAUACAUUGGUUGGGAUUGAGGACCGCAGCACGCCCUUGUGGCCGGGGUUCGCCCACGUAACGUGCUUAGGAUGUUGGCAUAAUGGCUUUAAGCGACCCGUCUUGAAACACGGACCAAGGAGUCUAACAUGCCUGCGAGUGUUAGGGUGGUAAACCCUUGCGCGAAAUGAAAGUGAAAGUUGGGACCUCUUUGAGGGCACCGACGCCCGGCCCUGAACUCUUGUGACGGUGCUGCGGUAGAGCAUGUAUGUUGGGACCCGAAAGAUGGUGAACUAUGCCUGAAUAGGGCGAAGCCAGAGGAAACUCUGGUGGAGGCUCGUAGCGAUUCUGACGUGCAAAUCGAUCGUCAAAUUUGGG
rnacentral:rRNA from 1 species